UGGUGGAGGAGGCAUGGGAGUUAUCUUGAAUAUUCAAAGUGCGGUCUUUAAGAAGCAGCAUUAGCUUUUUCUGUUCUGUAUCUACUAGGCUCCAGUUGAGGCAUUUUUUUUUUUUUUUGGACAAGGGGGAUGUUUUUCUAGGAAGUAUAGAUGAAGUGUAACCGGCUACCUUACCAUUAGUCAGAGCAUUCUGGUGACAUCAGCAUUUCCCUCACUAAAUAUGCUGCAGAGCCCUAUCUACCUUCUCAACAUUAACACCCAGCAACCAGGAGAGGAGAGAGGCCUGGGGAAGACAGCCACCACCAAGUACACAAAGGUUGAAAGAGGACGUUUGUGGGAAGUAGACAUUUGUGAAUGUGGAUUUAGAAGAUUUUUCCCUGUGAUGAGCUGAGUCAUGGGUGAGAGCUGGAGAAAACAGAGCAACACAGGCAGCCCAGGGGCUGAGCAGGUCCUCCUACCUGAUCCAUCGCUCUGUCUGCAAGCUCUCCUGUCACAAGUGAGUGGCUGACAGCCUCCAGAAAACACCAGUCAGUUACACUGUGAUGUGCAGUCUGGCCAGGGCUCAGUGGAGAAGCCCACACUCAUUUAUCCAUCACUGAAUGUUGGUUGUGCCUCAGGAAACAGUCUGGUUGCCAGAUACAGACUGGCCAAGAAAAUGGACGUGAUUAGUCCUCUUUUGGUCCGUAUAAUGUGAAGACGGUCAUGUGAGCUAAUGUGUGCUGAGCAAAGGGAGGAUUUGGAUUCUUUUGCUUUAUCGGUCAAUCCUCUUCUCCCAUCAAAUCAAUGUGGAAAUCAACAGAGUCCCAAUGGCCUUCUUUGGUAAAGCCCUUGAUAGUUCUAUUUUUUAAGCAGUUUAAUAAAGAUCACAAUGAAUGAGAUUGCAGGUAAUUAAUGAUUUAGUGAACUGUUUGCAGUACUAUUGAACAUGAGCUGCAGAAAUUAUGAAAUGGUAGGUUGGUCCUUCCCUACCUCUCUCCAACACCCCCGUCCCAUCACCUGAAAACCCUCACUCUGCUGUCUGUGAGCCAGUACGAGAGUUUGAGAGAUAGAUUUUCAGAGCCUCAUUUUCUGCCCUUUGAAUGGCGAAAAAGCAUUUUCUUUAAAUUGAAUACUUGCAAGCCUCAUCUCAUUGAAGUUUUUGGAUGAGAAGCUCCGGUUAAGCUUAAAUUAUUAUGGCCUUCACAUUGUUUCCUAAACCAACUGCUUUAACUCAGGGUGGAAAAUGCAUCUACAUUUCUUUUUCUUUCUUUCCAUUUCUAAUUAGAUUUUGAGUUUAAUAAUGAAUUAAGUUUAAUAGGUCCUGAGCCCUAGAGGCAGCCUUUUUGAAUUUCGCUUACUUUUGUUUGAACUGGAGUAGCCAUGCAUCACCAGGAGUAAACGAAUUCAUCUGUAUUGUGAAUUGUAUUAAUAAAAAACCAUGGAAAUGGUAGAAUUUUAAUGAUUAGAUUACUAUUAUCUAGAAAUAUUAUAACUUUAAUGAUUGUGUUAUUUUAUUUAUCUUAAAGUCUCAAAUCAUCAUUUUCUUUUAAAUUAAUGCACCAGACCAAAACAAUGUGAUGAAUCAGGGAAUAUUUGAUAUUUUAAGGACCAUCCACAUUUUACACUUUAACUAGAAAAAGCUUUCUGUAAAUCUUCACCCACACACUUUUCUUUGAACUUACCAGCUAUGAAUUUAUAAUUGCGGAGAAGCAUGUAUAUGUAUCUAAAAUGGCAGUUGGGGUGGAAUAAUUUGUAUUUGAUUUUGAUUAAUUUCAAUUGGACACCAGUAUUUUUGCUUAUAUAGGAAAUUACUUUCUUGGCCAUGAAGAUUUUGCACAUCUCUCUAAUUGGAGUCCCUUAACCCUUCCUCUGAAAUGGCACAGGGCUUUACUUUUACAUAUUCGGUGUAUCUUAUGUGCUUGAAGAGCAGCUUUCUAUCCUGACAGCAGCGUGGGAGCUAGAGUCCAAGGAAACUGGUUUGAAUUCCAACUGCGCUCAUUUUAGAUCUGCAUACUUGAGCAAGUGCUUAAAUUUCCUGGGUCUCAGUUUCCUGAUCUGUGAAACAGGGAUGCUAAUUUAUAGGAGGGUUGGUGUGCAAAUGAGAGACAAGCUGAUAAAACACGGAGUUCGCUUCCUGCCCACAGUGGUCAGGCAAUUAUUUUGCCGAUGCGUCUGCCUCUGUCACUAGACAGGUGCUGAUCAGGGUAAAGGCUAUUUCUGUCUCGUUCACUUUUCUGUCCUCAUUCCUUAGCACAGUGUUUUACUUACAGAAGAGAUCAGUUCAUGUUUCUUGAUUGAGAAAAUUAAAUAAAGCCCAUCAUAAACUCUAACAAGAAAAUCCAAAAAGGUGUGAAAUUCCUACUUUCUUGCCCUACACCAAUUUCUUUCUAUAUGUGAUGCUAGUUUGUAAAUAGAUGAAGGCACUUACAUUACACAUUAGCUAAGGUCUUAUCUAGAGGGUAAAAUAAUUUUCACAUCUCAAGUAAACAGAGAGAGUUGAAAUGGCCACAAAGAAUUUGUUGUGCAUUCUAUGUUGUUUCCUAUAUCCAUAAUUCUCAUUGUGUCAACACAGUGGUUCAAAAGAGCUUGUCAAUAAGCUUAGUAAAUACUCCACAUAAGUUACAAUUCAGAUAACAAAAAGUUUGAUGUAAAGGUGCUAUUUUUUCAUUUCUCAUGAGUAGUCAUUGUGAGAGAUUGUGUCUUCUGUUUAAAAUGUAAGACUUAUUUUCUAAUACCAUGCCUGUAUGAAUUUAAUAAGUACAAUUAUUUCUCCCAUGCCGGUUCUUGGAUUCAAACAUCAUAGAACAUGACUAAUUAAUGAAGUAAUGUAAUUGGCUACAUGUUUUAAUUAAGAAGCUUGGGGCACAUGCACUUUGCUUUUUUUCCCCCAUCUAUAGUUUAUAUAUUUUUUCCUUUGGAGAUGUAUGAUAAGGAUGAGAGUUGCCUGUCAGAAUGAGAGUUGGAGAACUUCUGCUUACAGAAGUCAAUAUUAAGUGUCUACUAAAAUCGACUAGAUCUCUACCAGACAAAGCUUCAGAAUAAAAUAAGUGAUAAUAACUACAAAAGCUGGACAUGAACAAAAGCCGCAACCAGGAUGCCCUGGAGGGUGAAGAGAAGCAGACAAAUCCCCAGGGGAGAGCAGGCUUGCUCAGAGAAGGGGAGGUAGAAACUCCUUAAGUUAUGUGGGAGGGUGGCAGGGGGGCUGAGGCUGGAAAAUUACCUGUUGGGUGCAAUGUUCACUAUUGGGGUGAUGAGUACUCUCCAAGCUCAGACUUCAAUAUAUCCGUGUAACAAAACUGAACUUGGACAUAUUUCCUAAAUCUAUACAAUUUUUUUGAAAAAGAAACUCCCUAGGUAAUUUUUCUUUGGGGGUUGUGGGGCACAUGUGAAAAAAAUCUAGCAUCUUUCUGCUAGAUAAAUAAGAAACCAGAAAAGAGCUAUUGAAGAAACUAGGAAAUUCUCAAAGGAAACAACCCAAGAAUGGAUGUCCAAAAUCAACGUACCCACAGCUCUGACUGACCCCCGAAACAUGCAUAGGAAGAAUAAACUCAAAGUAUAUCAGCUAAGGACAAAAUAUCUGGACUGAGACCAGAACUGCUGCCCAAGAAACUGAGUUUUCAGUUCAUACCAGCUAACAAAAUUUUAUAUAAUUACUGAAAUAUAUAAAUCCACAUACCAAAACUGUAGAUGCUUUUGUAUGUAACUAUUACAUGUAUACAAAAAGAAAUAAUGAAGGUAUGAGGAUCAUUUAAGUUAUAAUACUAAUUUAAGUAUAAUUGUAAAAGCCGUAUCAUUUUGUCUUUUUAGAUUUUCAUUGCUAGUUGUUGGUAGAUUUAAAAUUUGUGAAACCAUCUUUAUUUCUCUCUGUAUAUGUAUUUUUUGAUUUAUUUAUGAUUAGCAUAAUUGUAAAAAACAUUUAAGCUUUGCUCACUCUCUUAGAUUUUGAAGAGCGCUUCAGUAUUUUGUAUUGGCAUAUCCAAUCAUUUACUUCAUCACUUAAUAAAUUAAACCUUUCCUGAGAUAGAUAUACAUCUGCUGGAAAUGGG
rnacentral:lncRNA from 10 species